UACAUGGAUGCAGAAAUGGGGUAUCCUGAAAAGUAGGAUGCAGUGUCCAAAAUGCAAUCGAAGCAUGCGCCUGGAAAAAUGCGAUCGCAGCGAUGGGUUACGAUGGGUCUGUAAGCAUCACAAAAGUUCACCACUCUCUGUGCGCAAUGGCUCAAUAUUCACCAAAUCUCACACCCCUUUGGUGAAAUGGCUUGAGUUUAUAUAUAUAUAUAAACCAUGUAAAACCUAAGCUUAUUAUAAACUUAAAAUGUAACAUUUAAAAUUUAAAAUAUUACAGUUUUUACGGCUUAAAUACAAAUACAUUAAAGAUUUGUAGUGUGUGAAUUAUACUUGUGUAUUUAUCAACAUCAGCUCAGCCCUGCAUAUUGCAAUACACAGACUCCAUUUUCAGAAUUCACCAGAAAAAAUGUUGUUGAUGUGCCAAAGAAAUGGUAGAAGUUUUUACACCAAUGUCAUAUUAUACUAUUUGAAUCAAAAUAAAGAGGGGGCUAGUUUUGUUUCGCAAAGGGUUGUUUGCUUUUACCCAGUUCAGUGACAGGAAAUUAUGCAGGCCAGGCCAUCAAUGCAAAAACAGUACAAUUUUAAGUGACUCUAAUUAGGUGUUUUAAUAUUUGUUCCUUCCCUACAGGUUUGCACAAGGUUUGCAGUUGAAGCAGCUUGCCAUGAUCAAUGACAGUAUAGCAGGAAGCUCAAAGACACUGACAAGAAUGACAAAGUACUCAGAAAGGUGUGCAUUGCUGCCCUCAAGAGACUGAGGAUCAGAGGAAUGAGAAUUGGUGGUCAACAUCGAUUUGUUGUUAUCGACAAGAGCAAAUUUGCUCACAAACGAAAGUACCAUCGUGGCCGAUGUGGCAACACUUGGCGUAAACGCCAGUGGGUCUUCGGGAUGCUAGAGGUUGAUGGUCUUUCCAGAAGACCCAUUCUGAGACUCGUCAAGGACCGCUCAAGGCAAACACUUAUAAGCCAAAUUCAACGACAUAUCAGACCUAGAACAUCAAUCCUUACGGAUGAAUGUCGUGCCUACAACAGACAGCUUUCCCAGUACGGAUAUCGUCAGUAUUGUGUCUGCCAUAAAAGACACUUUGUUGAUCCAGGGACUGGUGCUCAUACUCAGCAUAUUGAGCGUGCAUGGCAGAAUUACAAGUUUGAAAUAUGGCGUCGUAGAGGAAAUCGUACUACUGAGUCACUGAAAACUCACCUCAAAAUGAUAGAGUGGCACCACUGGUUAGGUGUACACCAUUAUGAUGGUGUCUUAGGUAGACUUAUUCAUGUAAAAAAGUAAAAAAUGUAAAAAAGCAUGUCAAGACAAUAUAAAUGUGUAGGAUGCUGUAAUUAACUGUUUUUGCAGUGAUAUGGACCAAAUGCUGCAUUGCUUAACCCCCACCAUUGUUUUAAUUCAAUUUUGGGUGAAUCGUUCUCCAAAUGCAAUAAAAUAUAAUUUUAUCAAUUUUAUUUUUUAAUAUUAUUAUUAUUUUAAUAUUAUUAUUAUUGGAUGAUUGAUUUCAUUUCUCUAACAUCUAUUCAUCUUCUUUAAGACAUUUGAAAUUGUCUAGUAUCUAAAAAAAAAAAACAUGAAAUGAAAAAUAUUCAUGACACCGUUAUAAAACUAUUUGACAGAUUAUUAACACUUAAUUAUAUUUUAAUGACAAAUUCAAUUUGUACCACUGAAGAAAAAAAACUGGUCAUAAAUUCAUGACACAAUUAUAAUGCCGGCCUCAUGACAGUCAAAACCAACCACAUGACAGUUUAAUGUACUGUUAACCCAUAAAGCUAAGUAGUUUCUUAAAUUUGAUAAUUAAUCUGCUAUGUCAUAUUUUAUAACAGAUUUAUGACAGGUUAUGUUUUCUUGGUAAUGUCAAGUUGUCAUGACAAAGACACUGACACGUUAUGAUGUAUUGGUUUAUGUCAAGGUGUCAUAACAAAGACAUUUCAAACAAUGUCAUCUUUGCAUUAAAAAUGUCAUAAUUGAGCGAAUGACACUUAAUGACAGUUGUCAUAAACAUGCAUAAAAACUCCUUCAUAUUAAUGACAUGUGUCAUAGCAUGAUUAUGAAGGUAUCAUGUCUUAUGCACACCCCUUCAAGUAAAGUGUUACUGUUUUAGCAGUUUGAAAAAUCAAGAAUAAUAACAGCGUUAAUAAGAAUUAUUUCUAAAUGCUGGACCGUUCUCAUUUCGCUCUGUAUAUGGACCUGAAGAUUUUAUUUUUUUAACCAAGAAUGAACCAAAAUGAAAACAUUUAGCUUUUAAUCCAUGUAUGUGUGUGUGUGUAUAUAUAUAUAUAUAUAUAUAUAUAUAUAUAUAUAUAUAUAUAUAUAUAUAUAUAUGUAUAGCAUUGACUGUUUAAUAACAAUAGCAUGCACAAGAGCCUUUGUGUAAAGGUCUUUCUUUAAAUUUUUGAUGCAUAGACUGUAGCCUAAGACUAUCCCACGUUUUGAAAUUAACUCACUGUAAAUUUUCAAAUGGUUUUUAAGGAUGUUACAAUGUUAUAAUAUAAUGUUAUUGUUGUUUUACUUCCUCCUUUCAUCUCCGUUUCCAAUCCGUUCCCUUGCGCCACCUGGCGGUUGUUUCGCGAAUGAUUUUAACACACGACUGACUUGCAGUUAACACCGCGGCCCUGCGGCGGUGGUACACGCGGCGGUAUUACCCAUUCUGGUUGUCCAACUACUGUAGGUGUAUAUGACUUUCUUCUUUCAGACAAAGCUAGUCGGAGUUAUAUUAAAAAUUGUCCUGGCUAUUCCAAGCUCUAUCAUUGCAGUCAGCGGGUGUUGCAUUCCUUCAGUCCAAAAGAAGUGAAAUAAAAAGCGCCCAUUGUCUCACACAGUUCGGGGUGGAGGCGGGGGGUUCCUCCUGUAGUGAAUCCAUGUGUUUUUGUAAGAAAA
ensembl:lncRNA